rnacentral:rRNA from 1 species
GACGAACGCUGGCGGCGUGCUUAACACAUGCAAGUCGAACGGAAAGGCCCUGCUUUUGUGGGGUGCUCGAGUGGCGAACGGGUGAGUAACACGUGAGUAACCUGCCCUUGACUUUGGGAUAACUUCAGGAAACUGGGGCUAAUACCGGAUAGGAGCUCCUGCUGCAUGGUGGGGGUUGGAAAGUUUCGGCGGUUGGGGAUGGACUCGCGGCUUAUCGGCUUGUUGGUGGGGUAGUGGCUUACCAAGGCUUUGACGGGUAGCCGGCCUGAGAGGGUGACCGGCCACAAUGGGACUGAGAUACGGCCCAGACUCCUACGGGAGGCAGCAGUGGGGAAUAUUGCACAAUGGGCGGAAGCCUGAUGCGGCAACGCCGCGGGCGGGAUGACGGCCUUCGGGGUGUAAACCGCUUUCGCCUGUGACGAAGCGUGAGUGACGGUAAUGGGUAAAGAAGCACCGGCUAACUACGUG